ACUCAAAGGAAUAGACGGGGGCCCGCACAAGCGGAGGAACAUGUGGUUUAAUUCGAUGAUACGCGAGGAACCUUACCCGGGCUCGAACGUGAGUGGAAUAUGGUGGAAACAUCAUAGCCAGCAAUGGCCGCUUACGAGGUGCUGCAUGGUUGUCGUCAGCUCGUGCCGUGAGGUGUCGGCUUAAGUGCCAUAACGAGCGCAACCCUUAUCGUUAGUUGCCAGCGGGUCAUGCCGGGGACUCUAACGAAACUGCCAGCGUAAGCUGUGAGGAAGGCGGGGAUGACGUCAAAUCAGCACGGCCCUUACGUCCGGGGCUACACACGUGUUACAAUGGAUGGUACAGAGGGCAGCUACUUCGCGAGAAGAUGCGAAUCUCUAAAGCCAUUCACAGUUCGGAUUGGAGUCUGCAACUCGACUCCAUGAAGCUGGAUUCGCUAGUAAUCGCAUAUCAGCCACGAUGCGGUGAAUACGUUCCCGGGCCUUGUACACACCGCCCGU
rnacentral:rRNA from 1 species